rnacentral:lncRNA from 12 species
AAGCACGGGCAAGAGACCAGCUGGAAUCGCACACAUCACAGGGCACAGCUACAGGCAUUUCUGCAGGGCCAGGGGCAGGUCACAUGGGCAAGGCCCCUGGGACCCCAGGCCUGCCCCCACCCAAGGCCAGAGCCAAGAGCUGCGCCUGGACGACGUGUGACGGCAGCAGCCCUCCUGAGCAGUGCUCUCAGGGUGCAGACCACGCAGGUGCAGGUGCCCGACGAGGCAAAAACCCUUUCUACUGCAAACAAUGGGGUGGGGUGUAGAGAGGAUGAUGUAAACGUGGGAGAGACUCACCCGGCCCGGGGGCCCCCACCUGGCUCUGGCCACGCUCCCAGAAGAUGUGUUCCUGAAGCUGCCCCCCACUCCCCGUGGGACGGCACUGCUCACACUCCAGGGAGGGACAGGGUUCCUGUGCACCCGGGGGUGCCGACGGGCACCUCAGUAUUUCCAGCACCAAGAACGACUUUCCUCUCCAGGGCCAGGUGGGCCCAGCUGAGCCCAGGAAGGACCCCGAUGCUCCCCCACACUUGCCGGCACCUUCUUCUUUCCCUGAGACUGGGGGACGCAGAGCACUGGAGGGACUCAGGAUACCCUCCUCAGGGCCACGGCUUCAUGGUCCUCCGGGGGCAGCAGCUCCCCCUGCGCCACCUCCCAGGUAAGGCUACGCAGCACAGACCCUCCGGGGACGCGUGGGCCUCUGUGGCUGUAAGGGGACCUCAGGUCCAGGGGGCUCAGACGUGUCCACACGCCGCAGGCUCACAUAGGCACUUACGGAGCGCACGCGCACACACGCAGACACAGGCACUCCCGCCUCUGCAUACUCGCAGACACGCCAGCACACACACUGAGGACAGGCACACAGUGGAAGGCCAGCUCGGUGCUGGGGUGGGCACAACAGCCAGGAGACCUCCCGUGCCUCCACGGACAGCCGCCGCGGCUGUGACUCCACUGCUUCGGACACAGGGCUCGGUACUGUGCCAAGGGGCCCUGCGUCGGUGGAAUUUCUCACAAGAUCCAGAGGUGUAGGUA